rnacentral:rRNA from 1 species
AUCAGUUCAGCACUAAGUCACUUUAUCUUUAUGGUAAAUGUGAGAUGCAGUGUAUGGAACGUCUAUAAUCUAAUAUGACAAAUUAACGAUUUAAGUCCCUCUCAAAAGAGGCCAUUUACCCAUAGAGGGUGCCAGGCCCGUAUAACGUUAAUGAUUAUUAGAAGAUGUUUCCAAAGAGUCGUGUUGCUUGAUAGUGCAGCACUAAGUGGGUGGUAAACUCCAUCUAAAACUAAAUAUAACCAUGAGACCGAUAGUAAACAAGUACCGUGAGGGAAAGUUGAAAAGAACUCUGAAUAGAGAGUUAAAUAGUACGUGAAACUGCUUAGAGGUUAAGCCCGAUGAACCUGAAUAUUCAUUAUGGAAAAUUCAACAUAUGCCUGUAGUAUCGAAAAAAUACUAUAGAAAUAUUGUGCAUUUUUUCCAUAUAAGAACAUUGUAAUCUAUUAACAUAAUAAAUAUUUAUCAUAAGAUCAUUGGCUUAAGUUCAUUCAAAUUGAGUUGCUUGCAAUUUAACAUCGAAUGAAUGCUUAUGAUUUGAUAAAGUGUUGAUAGAUUUAUCAAAUUAGUGCUUAAAUUCAUUUUGAAUUUUACAAUUGCAU